rnacentral:rRNA from 1 species
AUAUCAAUAAGCGGAGGAAGAGAAACCAACAGGGAUUGCCUCAGUAACGGCGAGUGAAGCGGCAACAGCUCAAAUUUGAAAUCUGGUCCCUCUCGGGGCCCGAGUUGUAAUUUGUAGAGGAAGUUUCGGGCAAGGCCUCGGUCUAAUUCGCUUGGAACAGCGGGUCAGAGAGGGUGAGAAUCCCGUCUGGGAUCGUGCGCCGCGUCCAUGUGAAGCUCCUUCGACGAGUCGAGUUGUUUGGGAAUGCAGCUCUAAAUGGGUGGUAAAUUUCAUCUAAAGCUAAAUAUUGGCCAGAGACCGAUAGCGCACAAGUAGAGUGAUCGAAAGAUGAAAAGCACUUUGAAAAGAGAGUUAAACAGUAUGUGAAAUUGUUGAAAGGGAAGCGCUUGCAACCAGACUUGCGCAUGGCGGUUCCCCCGGCCUUCCUGGCCGGGCCACNCCGUUAUGUCCAGGCCAGCAUCGGUUUGGGUGGUCGGUGAAAGACCCCGGGAAUGUAUCUACCUUCGGGUCGACUUAUAGCCUGGGGUGCAAUACGGCCCACCCGGACCGAGGAACGCGCUCCGGCUCGGAUGCUGGCGUAAUGGUUGUAAGCGGCCCGUCUUGAAACACGGACCAAGGAGUCUAACAUCUAUGCGAGUGUUUGGGUGUCAAACCCCGACGCGUAAUGAAAGUGAACGGAGGUAAGAACCCCGUCAAGGGGCGCAUUAUCGACCGAUCCUGAUGUUCUCGGAUGGAUUUGAGUAAGAGCAUAGCUGUUGGGACCCGAAAGGUACGUCCCUCUUUUCUUUUCCCCCUCCCCUAUUAAUUUUCCAUAGAUGUGUACAUGCUGACUCGAAUUGUCUUUAGAUGGUGAACUAUGCCUGAAUAGGGUGAAGCCAGAGGAAACUCUGGUGGAGGCUCGCAGCGGUUCUGACGUGCAAAUCGAUCGUCAAAUUUGGGCAUAGGGGCGAAAGACUAAUCGAACCAUGGCGAACGACGGCGACGGCGGCGCCACCGGGUGGUUCUUCAACAGUCCUUCGGGGCUACAUCGUCCUUCUGGCGGGGAUCAACACCCGCAGCAGCUCCGGCUGUCCACAGACUAGGUGACGGUGGUCGUCUCCCCCGGGGAGAUGAUGAUGGUAUAGUCGGUCGUGGUCCUCUCGGGGCCACGGUUCAACGCUGGUAGCUGGUUCCUGUCGAAGUUUCCCUCAGGAUAGCAGUAACGUUUUCAGUUUUAUGAGGUAAAGCGAAUGAUUAGAGGCCUUGGGGUUGAAACAACCUUAACCUAUUCUCAAACUUUAAAUAUGUAAGAAGUCCUUGUUACUUGAUUGAACGUGGACAUUUGAAUGUAUCGUUACUAGUGGGCCAUUUUUGGUAAGCAGAACUGGCGAUGCGGGAUGAACCGAACGUGAGGUUAAGGUACCGGAAUGUACGCUCAUCAGACACCACAAAAGGUGUCAAUGCAUCCAGACAGCCGGACGGUGGCCAUGGAAGUCGGAAUCCGCUUAGGAGUGUGUAACAACUCACCGGCCGAAUGCAUUGGCCCUGAAAAUGGAUGGCGCUUAAGCGUGCUACCUAUACCUCGCCGUUGGGGUUGAAAUGAGGCCCCAACGAGUAGGCAGGCGUGGGGGUUUGUGACGAAGCCUCGGGGGUGACCCUGGGUCGAACAACCUCUAGUG